rnacentral:rRNA from 1 species
GACGAACGCUGGCGGCGUGCUUAACACAUGCGAGUCGAACGGAAAGGCCCUGCUUUUGUGGGGUGCUCGAGUGGCGAACGGGUGAGUAACACGUGAGUAACCUGCCCUUGACUUUGGGAUAACUUCAGGAAACUGGGGCUAAUACCGGAUAGGAGCUCCUGCUGCAUGGUGGGGGUUGGAAAGUUUCGGCGGUUGGGGAUGGACUCGCGGCUUAUCAGCUUGUUGGUGGGGUAGUGGCUUACCAAGGCUUUGACGGGUAGCCGGCCUGAGAGGGUGACCGGCCACAUUGGGACUGAGAUACGGCCCAGACUCCUACGGGAGGCAGCAGUGGGGAAUAUUGCACAAUGGGCGGAAGCCUGAUGCAGCAACGCCGCGUGCGGGAUGACGGCCUUCAGGUUGUAAACCGCUUUCGCCUGUGACGAAGCGUGAGUGACGGUAAUGGGUAAAGAAGCACCGGCUAACUACGUG